GCUAGUCGGACUGCAUGUGGUUGAGCAGACUGUGGUGAGCGUGUUGGUGCUCCAUGGUGAGCAGAGAUAGGAUGGGCCGAUUACCGAGGGCCUCGGUCUCAGGUCAGUUCUUUUUGAAGACACUUCUGGGGCUGGACCUUUUGAGGCGGCUCCCGGCGGUACUACAACUCCCAGCGUGCAUCGCGCGGGCCAGCCCUCCGCGGCGGGGGAGAUCCCCGGCCGACCUGGAUGUGUGGCGGCAAGGGAAGAGCUGAGCCGCGGGUUCCGGGUUUUUGAGGUUGACUUAAGGCUUUGGCCUCCGCGAGGGCUGAGCAACGGAACUGCGAGCCGUGUGACCUACCCACUCAGACACGCCCCCGGCCUCUGGCCCGCCUCUGCCUUCCCCUCUGGUCUGGCCCCGACUCGUUUCUUCUUCCAGUUUCCCGCGGGGAGUAACCCUUGACGACGACCAACCGCAGCCGAGCAUUUUGCCGGCCGGGCCAAUCUGAGGCGCGGGUGGAAGAGGCGGAGGUAGAAGCCCUGCCAGGCAGCCAGCGGGGUGUCCGUUUCUCCCGGAAAGGGUAGGCCGCCCCGGCUGGAACCCCGAGGGGAGCAAAAGAACCUUGGCGGGGUGCGGAAGUGCAUGGGCCUCUCCGCUCUCAGUGGGGCGUCGGAGGGGCCAGGCCUACCCUUCAGCGGCACUCUUCACGUGUCUGGGCCCAGUCUCGGCCGCCAUGGCUCACAGGACCCCUCCGGGCUCUUCAGCCUCACACGCCAGCUGCCUGGACCUGUGGAGGGAAAAGAAUGACCAACUAGUUCAACAGGCCAAGGUUGCUCAGGACUCAGGUCUGUCUCCGAGGCGACAGCAGUUGGCUCAAGAUGCACUGGAAGGGCUCCGGGGACUCCUCCAUAGUCUGCAGGGGCUCCCUGCGGCUGUUUCUGUUCUCCGCUUGGAACUGACUGUCAUCUGCAAUUUCAUUACCCUGAGGGCAAGCCUGGCCCAGGGUUUCACUGAGGACCUGGUACAGAAUAUCCAGCAGGGCCUAGAGAGAGUGCUGGAGACCCAGGAGCAGCUGAAGGCCAGGCUGGAACAUGGGCUCAGGGGGCUGUGGGACUCCGUCCUCCAUGUUUCCUCCCUUCUGCCGGAGCUGCUCCCUGUCCUUCACCACCUUGCUGGCCUGCAGGCUGCCCUUUGGCUGAGCACUGACCGUCUUGGGGACCUGACCUUGCUGCUGCAGACCCUGAAUGUUAGCCAGAGCAGAGCCUCUGAGGAUCUGCUGCUGCUCCUGAAAACUUGGAGGCCCCCAGCUGAGGAGUCAGAUGCUCCGUUGACCCUGCAGGAUGCCCAGAACUUGAGGGGUGUCCUUCUGACAGCAUUUGCUUAUCGCCAAGGCCUCCAGGAGCUGAUCACAGGGAACCUGCCCAGGGCACUGAGCAGCCUGCAUGAAGCGGCCUCAGGUCUGUGCCCACGGCCUGUGUUGGUCCAGGUGUACACAGCCCUGGGGACCUGUCUUCGUAAGAUGGGCAGUCCACAGAGAGCUCUGCUGUACUUGGUUGCAGCCCUGAAAGGGGAAUCAACCUGGGGUCCCCCGCUUCUGGAGGCCUCCAGGCUGUAUCGGCAACUGGAGAACACGGCAGCAGAGAUUGAGUGUCUGGAGCUGCUGGUUGAGGCCUUGAGUGUCGCUCAUAUCCCUGAAGCCCCACAGCUUCUCAUUGAGGUAGAGUUACUACUCCCACGACCUGACCCAGCCUCACCCCUUCACUGUGGCACACAGAGCCAGGCCAAGUACCUGCUGGCAAGCCGAUGCCUACAGACGGGAAGGGCAGAGAAUGCUGCAGAACAUUACCUGGACCUGCUGGCCCUGUUGCUGGAUGGCUCGGAGCCAAAGUUCUCCCCACCCCCAUGCCCCCGAGGGCCCUGUGUGCCUGAGGUGUUCUUGGAGGCAGCAGCAGCGCUGAUUCAGGCAGGCCGAGCCCAGGAUGCUUUGACCGUGUGUGAGGAGCUGCUUAGCCGCAUGUCAUCCCUGCGUCCCAAGAGGCCCCGGCUGUGGGAAGAUGCCAGAAGAGGAACCAAAGAGUUACCACACUGCUCACCCUGGGUCUCUGCCACCUAUUUGCUUCAGGGCCACGCUCGGGUGCAACUGGGGGCCCAAAAGGAGGCAAUUAGUGAAUUUAGCCGGUGCCUUGAGCUGCUCUUCCAGGCCACACCCACGGAUAAAGAACAAGGGCCUGCUUCCAGCUGUGAGCAGGGGUGUGCAUCAGAUGUGGCACUACAACAGCUUCGCGCAGCCGCCCUGAUUAGUCGUGGACUGGAAUGGGUGGCCAGUGGCCAGGAUACCAAAGCCCUACAGGACUUCCUUCUCAGUGUGCAGGUGUGCCCAGACUCUGAGGAGGCUGGAUCGGAGGGAUGAGGCCACUGCUCUCUGGCGGAGGCUGGAGGCCCAAACUAAGUUGCCACAGGAGAAUGCUGCAUGGUCUCUCCCCCUGUACCUAGAAACCUGUUUGGGCUGGAUCCAUCCCCCUGACCAUGAAACCCUUCUUGAGGAAUUUCGGACGUCUCUGCUGGAGACUUGUGACCUGUAGCUGCCACGUUUCAAAGAACCUGAGCUGGGGCCUCAGUGGGCCAUCUGUGGGGAGGGCUUUCUGCUAUACCGUCCUUGGGGAACAUGGCUGGAGCUGACCAUUCCAAUAUAAGUCUGGCAUUGGAGAGGCUGGUGGUAGUUCUCCAAAAUUUGGUCUGGUUAUUGCUGUUCUGGUUCCAGAAGAAGCCCCCAUUCCACCAACAAGGCAUUGACUUUGCUCAUAGCACCUUUUUUCCUGUUUGCCUUUUCAUGUGUUGAGUAAAAUUUCAUGCCUAUCUCUUGUCUGCCUACUACAUACACUUGAGUGGGAAGACAAAGCUGUCUGAUUCAGUUGAGUGCUGGUUGUCUAUGAUACCUUCUCCCAACAUCAUCUACCUUAUGAGCCUCAGGAGAAAGGGCGACAGGAAUCCUUACUCAGGUGGCAGUGCUUUUAGUCCUUCUUGUUGCCUAAAAGUAAAACCCCAAAGCCCAGGAUCCUUUGUGAGGUGACAGAAUGAGUGGAGUUAGGUCUGGAAGGUGGUGUCCUCAGGAGAAGGGCAAAUAUCUGAUUCUUAGAGCAGAGAGACAAGCAGACCUGAGUCUCUCAGAAUGACUCCCCACCCCCUCCCUCAUUCCAGAUUUGGAUUUCCACUGUGUCAGUCAAAUGUGACUGUGUGGAUAGGGGGUGAAGGGUGAAUUCAGUCAACAGGCCCCCAAAGCUGCCUAUUGAAUAUAGUCAGGGCUAGCUGGCAUUUUGGGCCCGAGGACUUCAAGUCUCAGCCUACAAUUUUCUUGCUGCUUUGGGUUCUGUUGAAUCUGCUGUGUGUUCUGUAGUUGCCUAGUGACUCCUCUCUCGACUUGACUGUCCUCCCUCGUUUAGCCAUAAAUAUUAAUACCUGUUGGUAAGAGGAAGCAUAUAUCUCUAAGCCCUGAGGAACUAUAAAGCCUAUGGGAUUAGGAUUACCAAAGGGUGCAAUGACAAUAAAGUAGAGUGGAUUAAGAGCUGGGAUGCUAGUCAGAGUCCAGAAUACAGAUGGCUGGAGCCAGCGUAUUGAAGGAGCAAGGAGAGGGGUUAGGGUGGAGACUCAGGUUUUAGGAGAAGAAUGGGUGUGUAGGUUAUCACUACAACAGGACUAGACUAAUACAAGGGUUCAAUCCAUUGUGCCAGGUUUUAACAGCAGGAUAAGCUCAGGAGCCAAUGAACUGGAGCCAAGUGGGAGAGCCUGCCUCCCAGGGAUAAAGCCUCUCCUUUCGCCAGUCGAUCUGGCCCUCUUCCUUUCGUUGAUUGGUCGAGAAUCCCAAUCCGUCGAGGAAGCGUAGCGUUGCGGCCAAUUGCCGUGGCGUUACUAGGCGUGUUGCAUCCCUGAGGCGGGAGCCGGGCAGCAAGCGAAUUUCCUGAUUG